UACGGAGGGGGCUAGCGUUGUUCGGAAUUACUGGGCGUAAAGCGCGCGUAGGCGGCUUGACAAGUUGGAGGUGAAAGCCCGGAGCUCAACGUUCGGAAUUGCCUUCAAGACUGUCUCGCUCGAGGCAGGGAGAGGAGAGCGGAAUGACCCAGUGUAGAGGUGAAAUUCGUAGAUAUUGGGUGGAACACCGGUGGCGAAGGCGGCUCUCUGGCCCUGAUCUGACGCUAAGGCGCGAAAGCGUGGGGAGCAAACAGG
rnacentral:rRNA from 1 species